UCCGGCUUGUCACCGGCAGUUCCCCUAGAGUGCCCAGCAUAACCCGCUGGCAACUAGGAGCGAGGGUUGCGCUCGUUGCGGGACUUAACCCAACAUCUCACGACACGAGCUGACGACAGCCAUGCAGCACCUGUGCAGGCUCCGUAGAGCGCCGGCUUUCACCGGCUUUGCCCUGCAUGUCAAGCCCAGGUAAGGUUUUUCGCGUUGCAUCGAAUUAAUCCACAUAAUCCACCGCUUGUGCGGGUCCCCGUCAAUUCCUUUGAGUUUUAGCCUUGCGGCCGUACUCCCCAGGCGGUCAACUUCACGCGUUAGCUUCGUUACCAAGGAAUUACUUCCCCGACAACCAGUUGACAUCGUUUAGGGCGUGGACUAC
rnacentral:misc_RNA from 1 species